rnacentral:lncRNA from 1 species
GUAAAAUUUUACUUUUAAUCGGUAAAUAUUGGUCUAUGCCUUACAAUGAAAUGUAUCUGCCUCAUGUGGUUCUGCUGAAGGACAUUAACUUGCCAUUCAGCUGGGACUAAUUACAAGCUGCAGCAGCUGGAGAGAGACAAAGAUCAGGAGGCCAGAUGGCUUGGAGAAGUGCAGGGGAUUUUCUUUCAGUAACAGGUUUUAAAGGACUUCCUCAGUUAUCUGGAAAAAAUUAUCACAGGAUGUCAGAAAGAAAAACUCCUUGGAAGAAAGAUCUUGUGAACAAGAUUUGUCUGAAUGGCUCUCAGGGAGGAUUCUUACCAGAAAAAGACUCUGUCAAGUUCCUGGUAAUCUGAUUUGUUGAACUAUGGAAUCCUUUUACCAAAAGAAGAGUGGUGACAACUAGUCUCAUCUGGUAUUCUCCAAGUUCCCAGUAAGUACUAUCAGUAUUAUUCAGGUGUGCAUAAAAUUACUUUGUUAAUGCAAAUCAGAUCUGAGAAAGGUAUGCUAUAAGUUCUUUAUACGUAAGUUAUUAUUAUUUCAUCUGCUACUUGGAAUUAAGGCCGCUUGUGGAGCCUUAUGUCAAGGAGGCUGCCAGUGUACUGUCUCCUUCAGAAAAGGUAGGACUGUCACCUCUUGAAAUGCGGCUGGCAGAGCACGAGGACACACUUUUUCCUAUUGUUCCCUGGCUGUCAUGAACUGGGUGGAUUGAUAAUUAGUCUGAGAGUCCACGUUAUCAAACAUCCAGCCUGAGAAUGAGAUUCAUGUACAUAGUGUUCAAUAUUCUUUUCUUGUGUACUAACUUAGUGACAUAUUUUGAGAAGGAAAUCAAAUUUCCUGUUUCUGUUAUUAACUCUCUUUGGAAAACUGUUUUUACCCUUGCAAAGUGCAAUUCUGUAAAAUUAUAAGUUAUAAUAAUGCAGGUCUUCAAAGUAUAUGGAUAAGAAGAGAAGGUUUCAGGACAUAGAGAACCUCUAAUAGAGUGCUGAUUUUUUUUG